rnacentral:lncRNA from 1 species
GUCAAAAGAGUCUCUUAUUAACCCAAUUAAAUUAGUUUUAUGCUGAGAAUAUUUCUUCUCUAAGUGUGUAUUCUAUUCACUCUAGGAAGACAUCUCAAUGAUCUACUUGCUGCAUCAAGAAAAGGAAAAAAUGGAAUGGCAGCUUUAAUACUGUGAACAAAGUUUCAGAAAUGAAAAGCUUAUAUUUCCAUGGAUGCAAGCUAAAGAAAUUUUGAUAGUUACAACAAAUUCACAAACUGUGACAUCUGGAAACCUGCAAAGUGAUAAUAAUGAAUCCAGUGGGUUCAAUAUCUUGAGGUAUCUACUCAGCAGAGGUUCUGAGAGGCUCUGACAGUCCAUGAGAAAGUGACCACACACCACUUCAAUGACCUCUGAAACUGUAGUAAGUCUAGAAGAUUGUAUUCUUUCCUUAGAGGAAAAAAAAUUUCUCCAUUGUAAAUUUUUUGAAUAUAGGAAAUAAAAUGGCAAGAAGAAGCAACACCCAGGUCCUGUAUAGUCUGUGAUAAAUGCAGUUUACUCAUUUAUUCAUUCAUUCAUUCAAUGAUCAUUUACUG